GGCAUGCACAGGCGAUGAAGGACGUGAUACGCUGCGAUAAGCGUCGGGGAGGUGCGAAUACCCUUUGAUCCGACGAUUUCCGAAUGGGGAAACCCACCUAAGAUACUUGUAAAAUCAGAGCGGCAGGGCGGACUUCGGUUCGGUUUGCCGCUGUGGUUUACAAGUAUCGAUAUUAGGUAACUUAUCCUGAAUACAUAGGGAUAAAGUGGCGAACGCAGGGAACUGAAACAUCUAAGUACCUGUAGGAAAGGACAUCAACCGAGACUCCGCAAGUAGUG
rnacentral:rRNA from 1 species